GGGGGUGACUGGUUUCGACUUCGUCAUGACUGAUCAGGGGAAGCGAGCCGAGGGUUGCGGUUGUGACCUCGUUAAUCCUGUGACCGCAAACCAAUAAGUGCCAAUGAAACGCGCACUCAGGGCCGUAUGGCCCUCGCCGCCUGAGCGAGGACCAGCCCUUGUCAGCCCGGGAUAGCCUCCGGCCCGGGACCUGGCAUCGCUAGGAGGCUCAACCGAGAAGCCCGGCCACGGGGCUGAUCGGGAAAUCUAACAGUGGCUGAGCCCGUCGGCGACUCGCCUGCGUGAUCGCCGGGGCUGAGAAAAACACAGCAGGCUGCGCUCGGAGAAGCCCUGGCCAGAUGCCGAAGGACGCGGGUUCGAUUCCCGCCACCUCCACCA
rnacentral:tmRNA from 1 species